GUGAGGAGCGGAAAAAAAAAAGGCUUGUUUCGCGGGAAAGAAAUAUAUAUCGGCGCUGAUUGACCGGUUUCGGACAAAAUCAAUAAGAUUAGUUUGCGCUAGUUUACCUGGAGAAAUUUGGGAAAUUUAAGUAAAAUAUGGAGAAUUCGGUGGUUCGACUCGCCUCAGAAUAGAGACUGACGUAUCGUAUUGCCUGCCGAUCCACGAGGACGCCAGAUUUCCAAAGCACGUGACUGAGGUCUUUACAAAGGUUUCCUGUAUAGCUUGGGGACGUGUGCACUGUUUCCGCAUUGCACACCUGUAUUUCCUAUGCUGUAGACUUUAUGUAGGGAAUAUUAUUCACGACCUUACGGUUUUAUAUAUUAAAUAUAAACAUAUUCAUUGAAA